GUGAGGAAUAUUGGUCAAUGGGCGGGAGCCUGAACCAGCCAAGUCGCGUGAAGGAAGAAGGAUCUAUGGUUCGUAAACUUCUUUUGCAGGGGAAUAAAGUGCAGGACGUGUCCUGUUUUGUAUGUACCCUGAGAAUAAGGAUCGGCUAACUCCGUGCCAGCAGCCGCGGUAAUACGGAGGAUCCGAGCGUUAUCCGGAUUUAUUGGGUUUAAAGGGUGCGUAGGUGGUUUGAUAAGUCUGCGGUGAAAGUUUGCAGCUUAACUGUAAAAAUGCCGUUGAAACUGUCGGACUUGAGUGUAAAUGAGGUAGGCGGAAUGCGUGGUGUAGCGGUGAAAUGCAUAGAUAUCACGCAGAACUCCGAUUGCGAAGGCAGCUUACUAUUUCAUGAUUGACGCUGAGGCACGAAAGCGUGGGUAGCGAACAGGAUUAGAAACCCCGGUAGUCC
rnacentral:rRNA from 1 species